UACAUUUAUAAAUGCUUUUUGUAUCACCUUUGUCAUUGGUAAUUUCUUUUUUUUUUUUUUUCUUUCCCCCAGAACUACAACUAACUGGCUGAGGUAUGAAAAUUGCUGAAGGGCAUUUUCUAUCACACUUUGGGCAGCUGCACACGAAAUUGAUGGAAAAUUACCUUCCCAAGCUAACAGCUGAUUGUCUGCCUCAUCACCUGAACUUCAAAAUACUCAUCCUUUGGAUUUGAUGUCAAGCACAAGCCUUUCCUUCUGCAUGAAGAAUGGGAUGACAAAGCAAGCUGAAGUCCUCUUUUGCCAGACAGAGGUGGACUUUAUGUGCGCAGAGCAGCCUCUCCUGAGAGCAGCGCUUGCAUCUUGAUUGUCACUUUGUCCAUGACAAAUGUGAAUUGAACUAAGGGCAAGAGGAAGAGGAGCAGGAAAGAGGAGUAAAACAGUGCCUGGGUGAGAUCUUGUUGCCUUCUGUAAAUACACCCAGUAGUUAAGCACCAGGGAGACAGAUGAAGUGUGUAAGGGAAUGGAUAAACCUGGAAAAAUUAAG
rnacentral:lncRNA from 1 species